rnacentral:rRNA from 1 species
AUCAACGCUGGCGGCGGCGCCUUAACACAUGCAAGUCGAACGGGAGAAAGGGGAGCAAUCCCUGAGUACAGUGGCGUACCGGGUGAGUAACACGUGGGACUAAUCCUAACCUUCUUAGUGGGGGAAUAACCAUCGGGAAAACCGUGGCUAAUACCGCAUAAUGCCUUCGAGAGUAGGAAAGGAAGCAAUUGCGCUUGAGAGAGGAGGUCGCGGCCUGAUUAGCUAGUUGGUCGGGGUAAGCGGCCCUACCAAGGCAGAUGAUCGGUAGCCGGCCUGAGAGGGCACCACGGCCACACUGGAACUGAAACACGGGUCCAGACUCCUACGGGAGGCAGCAGUGGGGAAUUUUGCACAAUGGGGGAAACCUCUGACUGCAGCGACGGCCGCGUGGAGGAUUGAAGUCCCUUCGGGGACUGUAAAGCUCCUUUCGUACCGGGACGAUGAUGACGGUACCGGUGGAAGAAGCCGCUCGGCUAACUUACGUGCCAGCAGCCGCGGUAAUACGUAGGCAGGGCGGGCGUUGUUCGGAGUUACUUGGGCGUAAAGGGCUGCUGUAGGCGGUUCUGUAAGUCCUGGUGUGAAACUCUCCCGGCUUAACUCAGAGCCUGCAGGGCGACUGCCGAAUACUGAGGGACUCGAGUACGGGAGAGGUGAACGUGGAAUUCCCUGGUUGUAGCGGUGAAAUGCGUAGAUAUCAGGGAGGAACACCGGUGGUCGUAGACGGCUCUACUGGACCGUACAACUGACGCUGAGGACAGCGAAAAGCGUAGGGUGAGCAAACAGGAUUAGAUACCCUGGUAGUCCUACGCCCUAAACGAUGGAUGCUUUGGUGUGUCGGGUACCCAAUCCCGUGAUCCGUGCCGGAAGCUAACGCGAUUAAAUCAUGCCCGCCUGGGGAGUACAGUCGCAAGGCUUGAAACUCAAAGGAAUUGACGGGGGCCCGCACAAGCGGUGGAGCAUGUGGUUCAAUUCGACGCAACGCGAAGAACCUUACCUGGGCUCGAAGCGCAGUGGACCGGGGUAGAAAUAUCCCUUUCCGCAAGGACCGCUGCGGAGGUGCUGCAUGGCUGUCGUCAGCUCGUGUCGUGAGAUGUUGGGUUAAGUCCCGCAACGAGCGCAACCCCUGUCUUCAGUUGCCAACGGGAAAGCCGGGCACUCUGGAGAGACUGCCGACGUUAAGUCGGAGGAAGGUGGGGAUGACGUCAAGUCCUCAUGGCCCUUAUGCCCAGGGCUACACACGUGCUACAAUGGCUGGUACAAAAGGGUUGCAAACUCGCGAGGGUAAGCCAAUCUCAAAAAACCAGUCUCAGUUCGGAUAGAAGUCUGCAACUCGACUUCUUGAAGUCGGAAUCGCUAGUAAUCCCGGAUCAGCACGCCGGGGUGAAUACGUUUCCCGGGCCCUUGUACACACCGCCCGUCACACCAUGGGAGUCAGUUGCUCCAGAAGUGGCUUGCCUAACCGUAAGGAGGGCGGUCCCCUAAGGAGUGGCUGGUAACUGGGGUG